rnacentral:lncRNA from 1 species
UCAGGCCAAAAAAUGUAUUUGUACCAUAAGCUUAAAACCAAGUGCUGCAUUACAAAGGCUGCUUCCAAUAAAAACACGGCUGUAUUACCUGUUGCUUAAGUUCUACUGCAAUUGUAAUGGAAAUUAAUUGAUUUUGUCAGAUAUUUAGCAGAAUAAUCUACUCUGUAUCCAUUAAACAUUUUAUGAACCAAUUUGCUUGCCCACGACUUCAGGGGGUCUAUAUGGCUAUAUGUUUCUUUUAAGUCUGGUUCUGCUCUCACUGGUGAUAAUGUCAAGCCUCUUCCGCUAGACUUGAGCACAUAUCAUUUUGUAUGCUCUUUGUCUGCAAUUUUAAGCACAAUUAAUAUUUAUCUUGUUUAUGCCCCCAAAAUGUGUGACCUGCUUUUCACACAAUUAGCUUUAAAAUGUGUAUGCUUCGCUAAUUGUGCUUCAAAGUGUUUACAUCUAAAUACUGGUAAACCAUUCCAAGUUUGCCAUGGAGACGUACCUGGUUGUCCAAUGCAACAAAGGCGAUAAUCUGUCAUGUUGCUAUCUGAGAAGAAAGCUAGAUUGUUCUUAUUCUGCAAAUCUCCUGAAGUCUUCAUUAGUUCUUCAUUAAUGAAUGAAAUAUUGCUCUUGCGGAGUAUAAAAUUGGCAGGCUUUAAUGGAAAGGUCUUCAACCAAUUUUUGGCUACGCAUGAUUUGCACGGCAUUAUCUGAUAAUAUUCAUUUCCCACCUUAUUUCCUGCUGAGAUAGGCUGUAAGUUCGCUAUAUUUAUUGAAUUUUCCAUAAAUGGGACCAAACCUUCUGUGCACCCUUGCAUGUUUUGUAUUCUAUAUGUUGUUUUCCAGUUGUCCAGAGGCUUCUUUGUUAUCGGAAAUGAACUAUUUCAAAUGAUGUAUAUGGCAUGUUCUCAUGAAUAUGUUAAUGUAAAAUGUUGUGUAACUAACUUCUUUUUUCCUUAAGCAUUGAAAUUAGUGUGUAUCAGAGUAAAAAUAAGAAAAUGACAGAUAUUGAUUGCUUGAAAGCACACAUGGUUUGCAUCUUACUUCCAUGUAUCUUGUUGCUGAUUUGUGUUUGUUCUCGACCUUUUA